CGGCUGCAGCGACGGACUACAAGCAGCGGCGGGCCAUCCACGCUGUGGAGCAGGUGGCCGGCGGCGUUCGCGGGGGAGCAGGCGACCAGCGGCGUUCGCCGAUGAGCAGGCGGCUGGCGGCGUCCGCGGGGAGCACACGACCGGCGGCAUGUGUGGGGGAAUCCAAGUGGCGGCGAGCCGUCCAUGCUGUGGAGCAGGAGACCGGUGGCGUCCGCGGAGGAGCAGGCGGCCAGCGACGGAGGAGCGGUUGGCCAACGAUGGUGGAGGAGCGGACAACUAGCAGAUACCCGGUACAGAAGUACGGUAUCGGGUUAGGUAUGUUCAUACUCUAACCUACCUGACCCGAUCCAUUGAUAUCCCUAGCGACGCCGGCGACACGAUCUGGAUCAGCCGAGAAGGGCAGCACGUGGUGAUGUGGGCUGACCACUUGACCAGACAACCACGGCAGGGGCGGCAGCCGGCACUCGCACUUCGGAAGUGGGAUUCAACUGUGUACUGUAUACUCACAGUUAUACUGAGGCUGCCGCGUAUACUCACAGUUAUACUGUUCGGCAGUUUGACAAUUGAGAAGAAUAGAAGAUGGAUGAGAAAGGGAAGGGAAAGUGUGCAGCACAAAGAGGUAAAAUGGUAAAUUUGUGGAUUGUGAUCAAUGAUUUUUCAAAGGGCUUGAUCUAAACCAAAUUUAAAAAAAAUGUUUCAGAAAAUGAGAGAUGGGCAAAUGCAAUUGCCUAGAUCUCCUAAAGUCCCUAGUCGCAAUUGAAACUUGUUUUCGGUAUGGCUUUUCAUUUUCUUUCUAUUUCUUUAGGUCAUUAUAUCCAUCUUAAUUGUAAAUUUACUAAUACAUCGCUAAUUUUUGUUUCACAGUGGGCCAUGACAAAUUAUUUUCAUAUAUCUAUCAUCUAUGCU